rnacentral:rRNA from 1 species
GAUGAACGCUGGCGGCGUGCCUAAUACAUGCAAGUCGAGCGGAGCGGGGACGGGUGAGUAACACGUGGAUAACCUCCUAUAAGACUGGGAUAACUUCGGGAAACCGUAGCUAAACCGGAAACUUAUAGAUGGAUCCGCGCUGCAUUAGCUAGUUGGUAAGGUAACGGCUUCCAAGGGCAACGAUGCAUAGCCGACCUGGGAGGUGGAUCGGCCACUCGGGAACUGAGCCACGGUCCAGAUUCCUACGGGGGGCAGCAGGAGGGAAUCUUCCGCAAUGGGCGAAACCCUGACGGAGCAACGCCGCGUGAGUGAUGAAGGUCUUCGGAUCGUAAACCUCUUUUAUUAGGGAAGCGUUACCUCAUCAGAAAGCCACGGCUAACUACGUGCCAGCAGCCGCGGUAUUU